rnacentral:lncRNA from 1 species
CCCUCCUUUCUGGCUAGGUCCAGUCUUCUCCUAGCAAGAUGUCAGUUUAUAUUUUCGACGAUGUCAAAUCCUCCUGCAUCGAGGAGUACAAGGCUUCAGUCGAUUUUCAAGAGGAAACCAUGGAGGCAUCCUCAGUCAGCUUCAUCUAUAGCUUCAGUGACUGCAAAGUGCGCCUACGAAGGAUGGUCCCAAAGUUGGACCUGACAUGCCUACUAUCGAAAAAUAGUGAUGAGG